GGAUGACCCGCUCCCUGCACAUGAAUUCCACGAUGAACAGAAACCUCUGAAACCACAAACAAAGCAAACCUUUGUCCAUCAAGUUGUUUCUGUCAGGGGGUUCCCCACACGGUCACAAAGUCUACCAUAUAAGGGUCUUACUAUUUGGCCCUGACUGGCCCGGAACUCACUCUGUAAACCAGGCUGUCCUCAAAGUCGUUGGGAUCCACCUGAUUGAAGGCAUAUAUGCCACCCCACUCGGUCAAGGAACAAGAUGUACAACACUCAGCUCCUUCUCAUGCCUGCCUGGACACUGCCAUGCUUCCUGCCUUCAUGGACUGACCCUCUGAACCUGUAAGUGAGCCCCAAUUGUUGUCCUUUAUAGGAGUUGCCUUGGUCAUGGUGUCUGUUCACAGCAAUGGAAACCCUAACUACCACAAUCUGUUACCACGCCUGUCUGCAUUUGAAUGUGGUGUACGUGCCACGUGUUAUCAGAUACGUGUGAUUAGCAACUCAAGACAACUGAAAAGCUCGACUCUCUCUGUUAUACCAAACAAAUGUGGGUGAAUUAAAUAAGGUCAACAGUGGGACUUUAUUAUAAGCACACCGCUCAUUUCAUUUCAUUAUUUAUUUAUUCACUUACUUACUUAGCAUUUAUGUGCCUGUUU
rnacentral:lncRNA from 1 species